AGUGAACGCUGGCGGUAGGCCUAACACAUGCAAGUCGAACGGCAGCACAGUAAGAGCUUGCUCUUACGGGUGGCGAGUGGCGGACGGGUGAGGAAUACAUCGGAAUCUACUUUUUCGUGGGGGAUAACGUAGGGAAACUUACGCUAAUACCGCAUACGACCUACGGGUGAAAGCAGGGGAUCUUCGGACCUUGCGCGAUUGAAUGAGCCGAUGUCGGAUUAGCUAGUUGGCGGGGUAAAGGCCCACCAAGGCGACGAUCCGUAGCUGGUCUGAGAGGAUGAUCAGCCACACUGGAACUGAGACACGGUCCAGACUCCUACGGGAGGCAGCAGUGGGGAAUAUUGCACAAUGGGCGCAAGCCUGAUCCAGCCAUACCGCGUGGGUGAAGAAGGCCUUCGGGUUGUAAAGCACUUUUGUUGGGAAAGAAAAGCAGCAGGUUAAUACCCCGCUGUUCUGACGGUACCCAAAGAAUAAGCACCGGCUAACUUCGUG
rnacentral:rRNA from 1 species